rnacentral:rRNA from 1 species
UACCGUGACCUUGUCCAGGGUUUGUGUAACCUUAGAGUUUGAUCAUGGCUCAGGACGAACGCUGGCGGCGUGCUUAACACAUGCAAGUCGAACGGAAAGGCCCUGCUUUUGUGGGGUGCUCGAGUGGCGAACGGGUGAGUAACACGUGAGUAACCUGCCCUUGACUUUGGGAUAACUUCAGGAAACUGGGGCUAAUACCGGAUAGGAGCUCCUGCUGCAUGGUGGGGGUUGGAAAGUUUCGGCGGUUGGGGAUGGACUCGCGGCUUAUCAGCUUGUUGGUGGGGUAGUGGCUUACCAAGGCUUUGACGGGUAGCCGGCCUGAGAGGGUGACCGGCCACAUUGGGACUGAGAUACGGCCCAGACUCCUACGGGAGGCAGCAGUGGGGAAUAUUGCACAAUGGGCGGAAGCCUGAUGCAGCAACGCCGCGUGCGGGAUGACGGCCUUCGGGUUGUAAACCGCUUUCGCCUGUGACGAAGCGUGAGUGACGGUAAUGGGUAAAGAAGCACCGGCUAACUACGUGCCAGCAGCCGCGGUGAUACGUAGGGUGCGAGCGUUGUCCGGAUUUAUUGGGCGUAAAGGGCUCGUAGGUGGUUGAUCGCGUCGGAAGUGUAAUCUUGGGGCUUAACCCUGAGCGUGCUUUCGAUACGGGUUGACUUGAGGAAGGUAGGGGAGAAUGGAAUUCCUGGUGGAGCGGUGGAAUGCGCAGAUAUCAGGAGGAACACCAGUGGCGAAGGCGGUUCUCUGGGCCUUUCCUGACGCUGAGGAGCGAAAGCGUGGGGAGCGAACAGGCUUAGAUACCCUGGUAGUCCACGCUGUAAACGGUGGGUACUAGGUGUGGGGUCCAUUCCACGGGUUCCGUGCCGUAGCUAACGCUUUAAGUACCCCGCCUGGGGAGUACGGCCGCAAGGCUAAAACUCAAAGGAAUUGACGGGGCCCCGCACAAGCGGCGGAGCAUGCGGAUUAAUUCGAUGCAACGCGUAGAACCUUACCUGGGUUUGACAUGGAUCGGGAGUGCUCAGAGAUGGGUGUGCCUCUUUUGGGGUCGGUUCACAGGUGGUGCAUGGCUGUCGUCAGCUCGUGUCGUGAGAUGUUGGGUUAAGUCCCGCAACGAGCGCAACCCUUGUUCACUGUUGCCAGCACGUUAUGGUGGGGACUCAGUGGAGACCGCCGGGGUCAACUCGGAGGAAGGUGGGGAUGACGUCAAGUCAUCAUGCCCCUUAUGUCCAGGGCUUCACGCAUGCUACAAUGGUUGGUACAGAGAGUGGCGAGCCUGUGAGGGUGAGCGAAUCUCGGAAAGCCGGUCUCAGUUCGGAUUGGGGUCUGCAACUCGACCUCAUGAAGUCGGAGUCGCUAGUAAUCGCAGAUCAGCAACGCUGCGGUGAAUACGUUCCCGGGGCUUGUACACACCGCCCGUCAAGUCAUGAAAGUUGGUAACACCCGAAGCCGGUGGCCUAACCGUUGUGGGGGAGCCGUCGAAGGUGGGACUGGUGAUUAGGACUAAGUCGUAACAAGGUAACCGAAGGUUACACAAACCCUGGACAAGGUCACGGUAG